rnacentral:lncRNA from 1 species
AAAAUACCAUCUGGGAGUUCCCGUCAUGGUGCAGGGGUUAACGAAUCCGACUAGGAACCAUGAGGUUGCGGCAGGCAUUCUUAAUAGUCUGAGAAUUAGAAUUAAACCUCAUGUUUGCUGUUUUUAUCAAAGAGAAAAUGUUCUUCCUUCAUUUGUUGAUUCUUCUUUGGUAGGUUUCAGGUUGGGGAAGAGUCAUCAAAGUUUUAAUUCAUCAUUUUGUUGUUGUUGUGAGUUUCCAACAAAACUCACUGGCAUUUACAAAGAUCAUUUUAACUCUGUAGUGAAGGACGAGGGGAGAAUAUUGGAAGAGAAUAGAUAAGAGAUCAAGAGGAAGACAGAAAGGCCUGGGGUUGGGCUGUACCAGGUCAAUUCAGAUGGCCAAUAGAGGCUGGAAAGGAAGAAAUUUGGAAAUGAGUGAAGUGCCAGGCAAACACACAUGCUAUGAGCUAUUCCUAGACAGGAAAAGUUUACCUCAUUCAUCUUUGUAUUUCAAGAGCCUAGUGCUGGUCUGCAUUCAUUUGGCAUUUAAUGCUUGUUGAACAGACCUGCAUUAGUUGGGAUGAGAAAGAACUGAGAAUGACAGAUGUAGUGCAAGCCUCUCAAAAGAGAGGUUGAUAAUAAGGUGAGAAACUCUACUAAGAAGUAGAGAUGAAAAAGUGCUUUGCUAAGUAGUUGAUGUACAUAGGACCCAAAAGGUAAUUUCAGCAUAAAUAGCAGGAUUUAGUCAGAACCCAUCUCAAAUUAACAUAAUUCAUCAAAAUUUUAUAUCUAUAAAAUAAAUCUGAGAUUUUAAGAAUGGAUAAUUUCCUGUAAAAAAUCCCUAACUCCAGAGUUAUCGUCUGUAAGAUAUUUUUCUUAAAAUUUGUAAAAAUAAAUAUGAAUAAAUGUAAGAAAAAUUUAUUUACAGAAUAUUGAUUACUAUAAAAGAUUACUGCUAAACUAUUUCCCCUCUUUUGAAGAGCCCUGAUAAUAAAAGCAGGAAACUGAUACACAUCUUAUGUAGAUUUUAUGUGAGUACAUUUCUUGUGAACCAUUGAUUCACAUCCCUUUCUGAGCCACCCCGUCCCCCAAACACUGGCACAUGGCAACCUCUGGAACUGUAGUUUUGUCUUUUCUAGAAUUUCACGUAAAUUCUAGUCUUUGGGUUUGGUUCCUUUCCCUUUGAGUCAUGCCUUUGAAAUUCCUGCCUGUUGUGUUUAUCUGUGUUGUGUGUCUCUCUUCAUCUGUUAUUUCUUCUUGUACACAUACCAUGAUUGUGGAUCCUAGAUUUUGUUUGAUAAAAGAUAAUAUCUUCAAAUAAUUUAUUUCUUCCUGAUAUUCAUGCUUUUAACAUCUAUAUAUCUCUUCUGACUGUGAUUAGAGGGCAUUCCUGACUUGUUUUUAAAUUCUGGGAAAUAGUAUUUUCAGUAGGUUUUUGGUAAGUGCUAUUUUGGAGGUGAAAGAGAUUACUCCUAGCCCUAGAGUGCACAGCUUUUCUUUUUUAUAAAUAAAUACUAAAUUUUAUCAAAUAUUUUUCUAUGCCUAUUGAGAACAUCACAUGAAUUUUAGCUUUAGUUUCUUCAUAGAAGAUCAUUUACUGAUAUUUAUUAUUAAGCUAUCCUUAACAUUUCUGGGAUAAGUAUAAUUAGGUUAUGAUGAUGCUUUUUGUACUGUUGUUU